AGCAGCCGCGGUAAUUCCAGCUCCAAUAGCGUAUAUUAAAGUUGUUGCAGUUAAAAAGCUCGUAGUUGAAUUUCGGGAUUGACGUGAUGGUCAUGCCUUAAGGGGUAUGAACUGUUACUGUUGAUUUCUCACCUUCUGGAGAAACUUGAUGUCCUUUAUUGGGUGUCUUGCGGAUCCAGGACCUUUACCUUGAAAAAAUUAGAGUGUUUAAAGCAGGCAUUUUUGCUCGAAUACAUUAGCAUGGAAUAAUAGAAUAGGACGGCAUGGUUCUAUUUUGUUGGUUUCUAGGAUCACCGUAAUGAUUAAUAGGGAUAGUUGGGGGCAUUAGUAUUCAAUUGUCAGAGGUGAAAUUCUUGGAUUUAUUGAAGACUAACUACUGCGAAAGCAUUUGCCAAGGAUGUUUUCAUUAAUCAAGAACGAAAGUUAGGGGAUCGAAGACGAUCAGAUACCGUCGUAGUCUUAACCAUAAACUAUGCCGACUAGGGAUCGGAUGAUGUUAAUUUUUUAAUGACUCAUUCGG
rnacentral:misc_RNA from 1 species